GCGCCGAUGUUGGAACUGGCAGACAAGCAGGAUUUAGGUUCCUGUGUCGCAAGACGUGUGGGUUCAAGUCCCACUCGGCGCA
rnacentral:tRNA from 1 species